AAAAUCUCGGUUAACCGAAUUUUCGGUUACAUAUUUUGUAAAGUGUUUUUUGGUUUUCAACUUUGCUAACCGAAAUUAAAACCAUUCAGCUGUGCAUCAAGGGGAACGCCCGCGCUAGCCACGUCAUCACAAAUACGACAAAAAAAACAGCUGGUGGAUGGCGAAGGGCUACGCAGGCGCCUCUCUCUCGUUUCCUCCCACUCCGCCUCCGCCGCCACAUGCUGGCACUCUCGCUGGCUCGCCGCUUGCCGUGCCGUCCCUCUCCUACAGGCCCGCCGCCUCCUCCUCCUCCUCCCGCGCCCCUGGCGCUGCCCGGCCAGCGUGGUCACCGCCGGCGCUCGCCGUCAUGCCGUGCGCUUGCUAGGGUUCCGCCGGCGCCGCCAAAGCCACCUCCACCAUACCUUCUCCUCCAGUCUAUCCCCAAGGCCGCCCCAGGCUAGAAGGCGGAUACCGCCGUUGCGAGCAUGCCCCCCUCCUCGCUGGCGGGCUCAGCAACGACUUCGUCUCCAUCUGGAACCCAUCACCGGCGCGGCUGCCGCGACCAUAAUCACAUUCGAGAGGAGCAGCCCAUAGCGGGUCUUCCUCGUCUCCAUCUCCAAGCCACGCGAGCGCCGGAAGUGGCACAGAGCUGGUGGAGAAGGUAUCGGUGGUUGGAUUUGCCGCACGGGUGUCGGCGGCGCGAUGCGGCCUUGCCAUACUCUUAGGCAUCGGUGAAAUCCGUUCUGCAAUCUAGGAACGAGGCCAACUUCAGGAGAUGAUUGAAGCUGCACUAAAUUUAGCUACAAUGUAACAUCAAACAAUUGGUGGCCAACCUCCUACAGGAAGGAAAUUACAGUUUGGAUGAGGAUCUGUAGUCCAUAGGAUGGUCAGGUCCUGAUGGAUUCAGAAGACCAGGUCAUACCAUCAUGACUAUAUUCGAUUUGGUUCCUUAGGUACAUCAAAUGUGUCUAUCCAAGAAGAGCACAAUUUUAGAGGAGUGUUUCUUUAUGGUUCUGAUUCCCCACCCCCAUGUUAAUAUCUCUGUAUGAUUACCACAUUACAAGUCUUCUUUUAUAUCCAAAAGGGGGACUAGCAAUCUUCAUCAAGCUUAUUGGAUUGGUUGUUCAUGCCUACAUCAAUGUACUGUUCAACAUCAAGCUUAUUGGAUCAGCUGUUUAUGCCUAAAUCAACCAAACAAGUACGGAGUUAUCUUAUGUUAUUUCAAGGUAAAUCCUUCUAUUUUUUGGAGAAGCAAAGCUAACUACUUUGAAGCAGAGCUUCUGUUGUGCAUGUGGGGAAGAAGCCAUAUCACGUCUCAUAGGAAUUUUCUCGAUCACGGCAAUUAUUAGUGGAGCAUAGUACAAUUUCAAAGAGAUGAUCACGACAAUAAUGGCAGACAGGGGAAUCGAGGGACGGCACCGAAUCGUCUCCUCUCCCUUGUGGUUUAAAUACCGGAGGAAUGGGAGGAGGCGUCUUGCUCCUUGUUCGUUCCCGCUGCUGCCGGCGGCCAGAGCUUCCUGAUCAGAAAGCUUGUGAUGGCCGUAGAGGGUGGCAAGGACUGCCUCGGUGACUUCACUGACGACCUCCUCCGGCAUCUGUUGUCCCUUCUUCAGCCCGAAGAUGCCCUGAAGACUUGUGUGCUAGACACCAGGUGGCGUGAACUAUGCAGGCGCACCACUAGCCUGCACUUUGUCACUCUCAAGCGUUGGCUGUAGAAGUUCUCUGCCAACCCAGCUGUACAUGCCGCAGAUUAUUUCAAUCGGAAGGCGUCAUGAUGGUAUUGCUACAGAUGUAUAAUCUGUAGAUCAUGUUGAGUUCUCCUUUACUUGAUCAUUCUUUAUUUGCUAUCCUUUCAUCCUCAAUAUUUCAGAGAUAACGCCCUAUUAUGGUAACUACUAGAGUGUUCCCUUCUUACACCCCAGUUUAAUAGGGUGUUUGCUCUUAUGGUGACACCUAACACCCUAUUAAACUGUCCAAAAGUCUUAUAUUUAGGAAGAGCUGUUUUACGGUGAUUGG